GAACGCUAGCGGCAGGCUUAAUACAUGCAAGUCGUGGGGCAGCAGGUUUGUAGCAAUACAGAUGCUGGCGACCGGCAAACGGGUGCGGAACACGUACAGAACCUUCCUUUGAGCGGGGAAUAGCCCAGAGAAAUUUGGAUUAAUACCCCAUAGUAUAAUGAAGUGGCAUCACUUUAUUAUUAAAGCUUCGGCACUUGAUGAUGGGUGUGCGGCUGAUUAGAUAGUUGGCGGGGUAACGGCCCACCAAGUCUACGAUCAGUAGCUGAUGUGAGAGCAUGAUCAGCCACACGGGCACUGAGACACGGGCCCGACUCCUACGGGAGGCAGCAGUAAGGAAUAUUGGACAAUGGACGAAAGUCUGAUCCAGCCAUGCCGCGUGAAGGAUUAAGGUCCUCUGGAUUGUAAACUUCUUUAUAUGGGACGAAAAAGGGCAUUCUUGUUCACUUGACGGUACCAUAUGAAUAAGCACCGGCUAACUCCGUG
rnacentral:rRNA from 1 species